CGCCACGGCCAUUGUGUAAAAAGUAAGCGCGGCGGGUAGUGCAAGCCGAGGACGGAGGACGGACGCUGUUUGGUUUUCAUUUCCCCAAAAAUACGGAAUAUAUAUAUAUAUAGAUAUAUAUAUAUAUAUAUACGCAUACACACAUUACAUACAGAUAUAUAUAUAUAUGUAUAUAUUUAAAAAAUAAUAAUACAACGGGUAUAUAUUAAAGUAUAGAGACGUAUAUGCAACAGUUUUCAUUUUUCAAUGAGAGGAAACAAUAUUUUUGAUUGGUCUUUCUAACCCCUCUUUGAUAUCGCCUCGACACAUUCGCCGCUCAGCCUCCUCGUCAUCAUCGUCAUCAUCAUCAUCCCCUCAUGUUGUGAUAUUAGAUUGUGCCAAGCCGACAAAGGAGGAAAAGAGAGAUAUAAACGACGGAUCGGAAUACACAAAAUUCAUUCAACGCCAUGGAAGACGACCAACAGUUCUGCCUUAGAUGGAACAACCACCAAAGCACAUUAAUACAGAACUUCGAUACGCUUUUGGAAAGCGGCACAUUAGUCGACUGCACUUUGGCGGCGGAGGGGAAAUAUUUAAAGGCCCACAAAGUAGUCCUCUCCGCGUGCAGUCCGUACUUUGAGGGCCUCCUCAGCGAACACUAUGACAAACAUCCAGUUUUCAUACUCAAAGAUGUCAAAUUUAAAGAGCUCAAAGCCAUGAUGGACUACAUGUACAGGGGGGAAGUGAACAUCUCCCAAGACCAAUUGGCGGCGCUUUUAAAAGCUGCGGAGUCUCUUCAAAUAAAAGGACUUUCGGAAAGUAAAGGCGGCGGAGGGGGGGGUGGUGGUGGAGGCAGCUGUAACAGUAAAACAGAACAGAGGCAACAGAAAAUAGUAUCGUCACAAUCCACAGCACAGUCGUUAGACAUUCCACAUACGUCUUCCGGUCUCACUAUUGAAAAGAACAGUAAAGUUCCUAGGCAGAGUCUUUCGCAGACGUCCGUCGAUAUACCAGAAGAUUCUGCCAGCCCACAAAUCUCUAGAGGGCUGUCCUCCAGGGAAGGCUCCCUUAGCCCGACGUCAUUAAGAAAAAGAAAAAAGCUUAGAAGAAGAAGUAUCGGCGACGAUAACUCAGUUGAAAAUCAUGAGGCAUCUAAUUCCAGUGACGUCUCUCAUUCUAUGGGUGUUCCAGCGCUCGGUAUAGCGCCGGUUGCAGAUGAGAAAGUUCACGCUGACCCUACAGACUCUCUCGGAAGGUCGGCUCUCAUGCAGCAGCUGACCAAACCUGCGGAUGAGAUGCUCCAGAUGCCAAUUGAGAAACCUGAGCCGAAUGACAACUUAAUAGAGCCAAAGUCAGAGUACCUGGAGGACCCGGAAGAGAGCGUUGAAGAUUUAACGCUCGAUGACGAUAUGAAUGACCUCAAUGAAAUGGAACAAGAUAACCCUAGAGCCGGCCCAUCCCACGAUCCUAGCCAACACCCUGGUCUUGCUUCGUGGCAUGUUACUGGUGACCGAAGUAAUGCGGGGGGUGUCGUAGGGGCGGUUGGUGGCACCCCCGGCACUACAGAUGAGGUCUUUCUUGCAGCCCAGGAGGCCGCCCAGGCCCAUCGAGACUCACAAGAAUGCUACAUGACCUAUCACGAACUGGCCGAAGACUAUUCGAACGGGAAACAAAGUCCAGAGCAAAACUUCGUCAAAGCGAUGGAAUCCACGCUUUUGAAAACUAACACCUUGAACGUGAUGUCCGAUGCUCCAAGAGGAGACGGAGUAAUAGUCGAUAAAAAUCUUUUGGGAAAUAAAAAACCUGCUUACCGGUGCAGCGACUGUGGAAAAACUUAUUCCUGGUCGACUUCAUUGAGUCGACAUCGUCGAGAAUGUCCGGGUCGUCUGACAACUAGUGUUCAAAAUAACAUUACAGAAACUUUUGAGACUAGUGUCGGAAACAGUCCAAGCUACAACACGCUUACUUCGACAUCACAGCAAGAUUUGGCUUAUGGGAAAACUGUAGCUAAAUAUAAGCCACGCUAUAAAGAACUGCAAAAAUAUGUUGCAAAGGACGGUGUUUACACGUGCUGGGAUUGUGGGAAAGCUUACUUGUGGGCAUCCUCGUUAUCCCGUCAUCGAACCAUAGAAUGUGGACCAAGAGAUAAACAACGAUACGUUUGCAGCCUCUGCAAUUAUCGAACGGGCUACAAGGGAAAUUUUGUCAGACAUUUGACAGGUCCUAGACACAUUGCGAACAAUGGAAUGGAGAAGAAACGUUCUACGAAUAAAAACUGAGAUACAAAAAUACGUGGUGCGCGGAAAUAUUGAAUUUCAAUUCGCUCCAAGUUCUUUUCAACGAACAAUUCUUGAAAGGAUUCAUUAUUUAUGUUCUUUAAGGCGAACGAAAUGAACAUUGCGUCACAUUUUUAUAUUAUUUGGCAGCACAAUCUGUCCAAAAGAUAAAACACCAGUGAUCCCAUUGAUUGAAGAAUUUUUUCCACUAAAUGCUGCUCGAUUACUUUUGGUUAUCUCAGCUUACCGUAAGAUGUAUAUGGGUGAUCAGCUUCUUGGCUACACAUGCACCAAGUGCAGUAAAUUUUACAAGAUGUGGAGCAACUACCUGAAGCACAAGUGCGAACCUCCGCAAUACAAAUG
rnacentral:misc_RNA from 1 species